rnacentral:rRNA from 1 species
GCAAGUCGAGCGGACUGAUGGGAGCUUGCUCCCAUCAGUCAGCGGCGGACGGGUGAGUAACACGUGGGUAACCUGCCUGUAAGACUGGGAUAACUCCGGGAAACCGGGGCUAAUACCGGAUAACUCAUUUCCUCGCAUGAGGAAAUGUUGAAAGGUGGCUUUUAGCUAUCACUUACAGAUGGACCCGCGGCGCAUUAGCUAGUUGGUGAGGUAACGGCUCACCAAGGCGACGAUGCGUAGCCGACCUGAGAGGGUGAUCGGCCACACUGGGACUGAGACACGGCCCAGACUCCUACGGGAGGCAGCAGUAGGGAAUCUUCCGCAAUGGACGAAAGUCUGACGGAGCAACGCCGCGUGAGUGAUGAAGGUUUUCGGAUCGUAAAACUCUGUUGUUAGGGAAGAACAAGUACCGUUCGAAUAGGGCGGUACCUUGACGGUACCUAACCAGAAAGCCACGGCUAACUACGUGCCAGCAGCCGCGGUAAUACGUAGGUGGCAAGCGUUGUCCGGAAUUAUUGGGCGUAAAGCGCGCGCAGGUGGUUUCUUAAGUCUGAUGUGAAAGCCCACGGCUCAACCGUGGAGGGUCAUUGGAAACUGGGGAACUUGAGUGCAGAAGAGGAGAGUGGAAUUCCAAGUGUAGCGGUGAAAUGCGUAGAUAUUUGGAGGAACACCAGUGGGCGAGGCGACUUUCUGGUCUGUAACUGACACUGAGGCGCGAA